UUGAGAAAAAGCUGAGAGAUUGGCAAAGUGUACCUGUGGGGGUGUGACGUGAAAACAUCUCCAAGAUGAUUAGAGCACAAGGGUUCUGACCAAAAAUGGCCAAAGGAAGGGUGAUGGGACCUAUCUGAAGAAGUUAGGCCCCUGGGGGUGUGGCCUUAGGGCUCUGUCUUGGCUGGAUCCUUCUUAUAUUUCCUUUUGUGUGGUUCCUGGACACCAGGAGAGAGAGGAAGCAGGAAGGAGGAGCAGAGAAUCCACAGGAGAGGUCUUGGAACCAUGAGGAGGGAUGAACCGGACUUAAGAUGACUAAAAGCAAGUAUAAUAGUGCCCUCCAAGAGCAGUAGGUGUCAGAUGUCCUGGAACUGAAUUACAGACAUACGUGAGCUGGAAACCAAACCUGGGUCCUCUGAAGAGCAGCCCGUGCUUUUGACUACUAGGCCAUCUCAACAACCCCAACAAAAUAACCUACUUAAGGAAGAAAAAAAAAAAGCCAGAUGUGGUAACACACAUCUUUCAGUAGAAGGAUCUCUUGGAAUUUUGAACUCUGGUCUGGUCUACAGAGUUCCAGGCUAACCAGGGCUACAUGAUAAAACUCAGUCAAGCCCUCUCCAGCUACUGUGUUGGCGGUAGGAAUGCCUCUAAACACUAUUUACGACGAAGCAGGCUUUUGAAAUGAAGGACAAGAUUUCUGUGUAAGAGCCAAGGCUGACCUGAACUCACUAUCUAGAGCAGGCUAGCCUUGAACUCAGAGAUCCUCCUGUGUCUGCCUCCAGAGUGCUGGAAUUAAAGGUGUGCUUCCAUGCCC